UCUAUAAUACACGACAAAAAAGCAUAAGACUAAUUCUACUAUUUGCAAUUGUAUUGUUAAUCACUGCAAUAUCAUUGGUCGAAAUUGUUUUGUAAUCUGACACUAUUGGCAUGCCUAAUUUUGACAGGUCAACUGGUAUCUCAAUGACACAAUAGACAAGUUAAAUCAUUGUGUAGGUAUUGAGCUUCAAUGACUUGGGCAUUGUCAUUCACUUAAUGUAACUCAUUCCUCAAACCUCCGUAAAGUGAACCCGCUAUAUUGUACCCAAAUACUUAAAACUCAAUCAGUACAGUAGUACCUACUUUUGAUUCAGGGAUAGCAUUAUUAUCUGUGGCAAAGUAAAGCUUUCGACAAAUCCGGAAUCAGAACUGGCAUGUUCAUUCGUUCAGUUCGCCCACAACUCCGCGUGUGCUUAAGUUUACAACGCGCGGUAGUUCCUGUUUUAAAAUAAAAUUUCCCAAAACCGUUGUACACAUAUUUCAUUGAUUAAAAAAAAAGAUUUUUAACGUUUCACUCAUGAGUCACAAUCAACAAUCACAUCAUUGAAAUUGACGCACAAUUACAAUACAAUUGGCUGGUCUGUGUACAAUAGAAACCGCUCUACAGUGCUAAACUUUGACAGGCUUGAUGACAGAUCAUUUUAAUCAUCGAAGAGCCAAUGCAAUUACACUAAACUUGACUAAACCAAACUAUAUUUGUGUAAUGUCAGUACAUUACACAAACGCUACAAUGUUUUGUGCUUUUGAAUAGAUUUUAAGCAUUCAAAGUGUUUUGCUCCAAUGUAUGCGUUUGCGCAUAUUGGUCGCCGACAAUGUAUUUAAGGCAUCGCCAAUUCAUUACAGCGUUGUGGCUCGGCGUUGAUCCAACAGGCGGAGUAAGUUAAAUCGUUCCGCUUUAGAAAGGAGAAUGUUGCUGAACGGGAAUUGGAGACAAAACGAAAUUUGUCAGCUGAGCGGCGAUCCGACACAAUAACCGGCUUUAAGAUUAUAUUUUAUCAAUAUUGAAUCCCCUGUGUUGUGAGCUGCAUUGAUGGUACUCAUGGAGCUAUUGGAAGGCACUCAAUCCAUGAAGCAUUAUAACGAUAAUGUCAUCACUUUCUCAAUGAAACAAUUGUAAAUGUUCUGCAAAUUAAUAAAAUCCAAACAAAUGUUAGUCACUUAGCGGCACAUAAUUGAUUCACUUUCUCUUUUAAACUCAUGAUAGCAGAUAUAAACAUUUAUGUGUUGAUCCGAAGAAAUGAGGUCAUGACUAUGCUUGAUAUGGUAAAGCCAUCCAUUAUGUAACCACUUGGCAGCCAUCAACAUGACUGGAGAACAAGAAUUUAUUUCAUGUAAUCCUGUUACUUCCGGUGGUGGUUCAAAAUACUUUCAUGGCCUUCUGACACAGCUGACUGUGUGUAUCCUUUGAGGCCAACACUCAAGACACUAGUACUGAACAUGAUAGUAACUCCUGAACAUGUAUACUAUACAAAACAUGUUACUAUGAAAAUAUAGAGGCGUAUUAGGGUACUGAGAGCAGAGUGCAGUCCAGACAAUAAUGAAGUUCUCUUUCAGUAAUCACUCACAUAGUAGGUAGGUGUGAGCUUACUGAUAUUUGCUUGCUUACCCAUCACAACAGAGAAAAGAGUUAAUUCUAUCACUGUUUUACAUAAUAUUGUAAACAUAAGUUCUAUUGACCCCACUUACAGCAGAGGAAACUAUAAGGCAGCAACAGUAGCCAUUUUAAUUUAAAAUAUUGAAAUCUUGAAAAUGAUUCUCACACAUCUUGAUUAAUAAUUAUUUUGUUUGUUCUAGAUUCAUAGAAUCAACAGUGAUGGAGAGACUUUUCAGUUGACAACAGGCUCUUGAUAGUAAACUAGAUUCAAGCAAAUGUUAUUAAUUCACAAUAUAUGUAUUUUAUAGUAAUUAUAGAUAAAAUGUUUAAUUCAGUGAUUGUUAUGUUAAAAAUAUACUUCUUGUUGCAGAUUCAGAAAGCAAUAUCCGACACAUUAACUACAUUUAGACAAGUUCAAAAUAGAAUAUUUAAAGGGGUACUCAAGUAGGAAUAAUUGAAGAUGUUCUUAAUGCGCUUACUUGAGGCACGCCCUUUAUUGGACUGCAGAAGACACCCGUUAAUGUAAAAAAACGAUAAAAUACUAUUGUUGCUUUGGUCUUACUUUAAUGUUUAUUGUAAUUGUUUAAACUUUAUAGUAAUUUGUCUAACGGAGGUUGAAUAUCCUUUAAAGUUGUAAAUACUUAUUUAUAGUUGAAUUCAUAACAUUACGUGGGAGUUCCUAGGUGGUUAUUUUCUAUAAGAUUGACUUUUUGCUGAACUGACUUUUUUUUGUUAUGGUUAUAAACAUAUUUAAUUACCCCCCCUUCGCCUUUGUAUCUUAAAUAUAUUGUGUGGUAUGCUUGUUAUUUAUAGGUAAUAAAACUUUGUGCAUGUAAGAACAGCGUAAAUCCCAAUAAAAUUGUGUUUUUCUCUUC